ensembl:lncRNA
CCUCAGAGAAGAAGAAGAAAAAGAUGCCCAUGUGGUGUUCUGUGCUAAAAUGUGUUAUCUUUCACCGUUCUACCUACCAGUGAUUCACCCCUAUUCUGAGUUGUGGCUAUCAAGAAUGAUAUGGUGUUCAAAGAUUAUCAGAGGGAUUUUCAGGCAGAACUGAUGGGGAAUCCAUUUUGUCGACAGCAGAGUUUUCGUCGACAUUGCUAGUUUUUUCCUUCACAACAAAAUGGAAGAUUCUCAAUUCAAGAGGACCUGAGCCCUAGGACCAUGCCUCAGGACUACCUAACAUGAUAACUCCUUGCUGUUCCCAGUCCAUCUGGCCGUGCUGCUGCUCCAGUUUCAACUGUUCUGCCUACGGCUAUGGAACCCUGACCUGUUCACCGGAAGGGGUACCUGUCCCAGACCUGCUGUUUUCAGACAGCAAGAGUGGUAGAGAUACUCUGAAUGAUUGGCUAUGAAAAGCCAACUGAAAUUUACUCCUGAGCUGCUGACCUGUUGCACCCUCGACAACCAGUGUGAUUAUUAUUGUUUGACCCUGCUGGUCCUCUAUUAACAUUUGAACAUCUUGGCCAUGUUCUGUUAUAAUCUCCACCUGGCACAGCCAGAAGAGGACUGGCUACCCCUCAUAGGCUGGUUCCUCUCUAGGUUUCUUCCUAGGUUCUGGCCUUUCUAGGGAGUUUUUCCUAGCCACCGUGCUUCUACACUUGCAUUGCUUGCUGUUUGGGGUUUUAGGCUGGGUUUCUGUACAGCACUUUGUGACCACAGCUGAUGUAAGAAGGGAUUUAUAAAUACAUUUGAUUUAUUGAUUGAUACAUGGGGCGGCAGGUAGCCUAGUGGUUAGAGCAUUAGACUAGUAAUCGAAAGGUUGCAAGAUUGCUGAGCUGACAUGGUAAAAAUAUGUUGUUCUGAACAAGGUAGUUAACCCACUGUUCCUAGGCUGUCAUUGAAAAUAAGAAUUUGUUCUUAACUGACUUGCCUAGUUAAAUAAAUUAACAUGGAACCCUAAAGGGUUCCCCUAUGGGGACAGAUGAAGAACCCUUUUAGGUUCUAGAUGCAAUAGCACCUCUUUUCCUAAGAAUGUAAAGUCAUUCACAAUGCUAUUGAUAUGGUAUGAUUCAAGAAAUAAGUAAUAUCAUCUACAGUGUGUCCAAGCAGGAAUGCAUGAUAACGGUAUUUUGAUGUGCAACACCUAGACCAUUUUGGGUUGACAAUUAGACUAUUGUUGCUAUAGUUUUACUGUUAAAAUAUGAAUUACAGAUGUAUUUUGUUCAAUUUAGAUUAAUUUGCUUACAUGUUGUUGUAUACAAAUAUCACAUAGGCUAACUCACUUGGGGCUAAUCACUGAGGAAGGUGAAACUCUAAACCUAAACCACAACAGCCUACUGUUUUUUCACAUGAUUGUCUUUUUAAAUGUUGUGCAAUAAGAAUACAUUUUUCUCUUCUUCCCGUUCUCUCCAUCUUCUCUCUAUCUCCAUUUCUCUCCAUCUUCUCUCUAUCUCCAUUUCUCUCCAUCUGGAAUUCGGAUGCUACUGUUUGACCAAAUCAUGGUUUUAGCUGUCACCAAAAACCAAUGUUUUGAGUAAAGUGACCAGCUAGAAUUUUCUACCAGCUCUCACAGUCUCACGUCAGAAUUAGACGUUCAUCCAUGUUUCGCAAAGGUCAACUUUCAAAGUGUUUAAGGUUAAGUUUAGGCAUGAACUCCAAAUUUGUAAGGUUAGGGUUAACUUGUUGGGGAUAGGGGGCAGUAUUUUCACUUUGGAUGAAUUCCCUGCGCCACCUUUUCAGCUGAACAGGGGGG